rnacentral:rRNA from 1 species
GUCCAGACUCCUACGGGAGGCAGCAGUGGGGAAUAUUGGACAAUGGGCGAAAGCCUGAUCCAGCCAUGCCGCGUGUGUGAAGAAGGUCUUCGGAUUGUAAAGCACUUUAAGUUGGGAGGAAGGGUUGUAGAUUAAUACUCUGCAAUUUUGACGUUACCGACAGAAUAAGCACCGGCUAACUCUGUGCCAGCAGCCGCGGUAAUACAGAGGGUGCAAGCGUUAAUCGGAAUUACUG